rnacentral:rRNA from 1 species
UGGGGAAUAUUGCACAAUGGAGGGAACUCUGAUGCAGCGACGCCGCGUGAGUGAUGAAGGAAUUUGUUUCGUAAAACUCUGUUCUAUGGGAAGAAAAGGACUGUACCAUAGGAGAAAGCUCCGGCUAAAUACGUGCCAGCAGCCGCGGUAAUACGUAUGGAGCGAGCGUUGUCCGGAAUUAUUGGGCGUAAAGGGUGCGCAGGCGGCUUUACAAGUUGGAUGUGAAAUAUUGUGGCUCAACCACAAACGUGCAUCCAAAACUGCAAAGCUUGAGUUAAGGAGAGGUAAGUGGAAUUCCUGGUGUAGCGGUGGAAUGCGUAGAUAUCAGGAGGAAUACCGGUGGCGAAAGCGACUUACUGGACUUAAACUGACGCUCAGGCACGAAAGCGUGGGGAGCAAACAGG